rnacentral:rRNA from 1 species
UACGUAUGUCGCGAGCGUUAUCCGGAAUUAUUGGGCAUAAAGGGCAUCUAGGCGGCCUAACAAGUCAGGGGUGAAAACCUGCGGCUCAACCGCAGGCCUGCCUUUGAAACUGUAAGGCUGGAGUACCGGAGAGGUGGACGGAACUGCACGAGUAGAGGUGAAAUGCGUAGAUAUGUGGAGGAAUGCCGAUGGUGAAGAUAGUCCACUGGACGGAAACUGACGCUGAAGUGCGAAAGCGGGGGGAGCGAACAGG